AAAGUGGAGCAAUCCAUGAGUACAGUGGCGACCGGGUGAGUAACACGUGACUACCUACCCUUGAGUGGGGGAUAACCUCGGGAAACCGAGGCUAAUACCGCAUAAUAUCGGCGUCUAAUAAACGUCGAUCAAAGGAGUAAUCCGCUUUUGGAGGGGGUCGCGGCUGAUUAGCUAGUUGGUAGGGUAAUGGCCUACCAAGGCGAAGAUCGGUAUCCGGCCUGAGAGGGCGCACGGACACACUGGAACUGAAACACGGUCCAGACUCCUACGGGAGGCAGCAGUGGGGAAUUUUGCGCAAUGGGGGAAACCCUGACGCAGCAACGCCGCGUGGAGGAUGAAGCCCCUUGGGGUGUAAACUCCUUUCGACCGGGAAAAUAAUGAUGGUACCGGUGGAAGAAGCACCGGCUAACUCUGUGCCAGCAGCCGCGGUAAUACAGAGGGUGCGAGCGUUGUUCGGAAUUAUUGGGCGUAAAGGGCGCGUAGGCGGUGUUGUAAGUCACCUGUGAAACCUCUGGGCUUAACUC
rnacentral:rRNA from 1 species